rnacentral:rRNA from 1 species
UACGAAGGGACCUAGCGUAGUUCGGAAUUACUGGGCUUAAAGAGUUCGUAGGUGGUUGAAAAAGUUGGUGGUGAAAUCCCAGAGCUUAACUCUGGAACUGCCAUCAAAACUUUUCAGCUAGAGUAUGAUAGAGGAAAGCAGAAUUUCUAGUGUAGAGGUGAAAUUCGUAGAUAUUAGAAAGAAUACCAAUUGCGAAGGCAGCUUUCUGGAUCAUUACUGACACUGAGGAACGAAAGCAUGGGUAGCGAAGAGGAUUAGACACCCUCGUAGUCCAUGCCGUAAACGAUGUGUGUUAGACGUUGGAAAUUUAUUUUCAGUGUCGCAGCGAAAGCGAUAAACACACCGCCUGGGGAGUACGACCGCAAGGUUAAAACUCAAAUGAAUUGACGGGGACCCGCACAAGUAGUGGAGCAUGUGGUUUAAUUCGAAGAUACGCGCAGAACCUUACCAACACUUGACAUGUUCGUCGCGACUCUAAGAGAUUAGAGUUUUCGGUUCGGCCGGACGAAACACAGGUGCUGCAUGGCUGUCGUCAGCUCGUGUCGUGAGAUGUUGGGUUAAGUCCCGCAACGAGCGCAACCCUCACUUUUAGUUGCCAUCAUUAAGUUGGGCACUCUGAAAGAACUGCCAGUGAUAAGCUGGAGGAAGGUGGGGAUGACGUCAAGUCCUCAUGGCCCUUACGUGUUGGGCUACACACGUGCUACAAUGGUAUCUACAACAGGAAGCAAGACUGCGAAGUUAAGCAAAUCCCUAAAAGAUACCUCAGUUCGGAUUGCACUCUGCAACUCGAGUGCAUGAAGCUGGAAUUACUAGUAAUCGUGGAUCAGCGUGCCACGGUGAAUGCGUUCCCGGGUCU